rnacentral:misc_RNA from 1 species
UAAGUGAAAGUGUCUAUUAUUCCCUUCCGUGAAUCUUCUUCGGGUCUGAAGCAUAACAGCUCGUUGGUUUAUUGUGUGGGGAACGAAUACUGGCGAGCCAUUAUCGUUACAGUUACAGCAGAAAGCUUGUAAUCAAUUUAGUCCUUGUCUAUUUGCCUUUUUCAGAGACGUAUACAAUUAUUCAAAAAGUUCUUUGAUAAAACUCUAGCCCACCACAACGCAUCGACAUCGCAUCCCUCUUCUCCCCGUAGUCUGAGAAACGAAUCACCCACCGACCCUAAGAAGACACGGACGCUCGAAGACUUCCACGACGACUCCGCAUUUGAUGAACAAGCAGAUGACCAGCAGGACGAUGAUGACGACGAUGAUGAUGGAUCUUCCAGUACCAGCAGCAAAGAAGGAUUUGUAAAAAGGCGUAUUGAACGGUGGGAGCGUCGACUAUCGCAGUGCGACGACAACGACGUCACCCAAGGCCAGGCAUCGCUUGAAUUACGGCAGCGGGGCCAGCCAGCACCCGUUGUCAUACCCCCGACUUUUCUCCACGGGUCCGUGUCGUUUCGUGGGAAUUCUCAAGCGGAAAGCGAGCUUUCUUCAAUAAGGUAAAUUCCUUGUGAUACGUCAUUUGAAUCAGAACAAUGAAUAGAUGAUAAUGUAAUUUGUUGGUGUCAAAAGAAAUAGUAAACAUUCCACCUGCAUUAAUGUGCUGUUAUGAUCUAAUACUAGUUCAUUGGCACACCUAAAUCAUAUUGUAAUAGUCCAAAGUUUGAUAAGACAAAGGCGGUAAAUGGUUAUAAUUAUGUGUCAGAAUAUUCAUUGUCUGUUUCCAACUAAAAGUAUUAGUCAUGAAUAUAGUAGACCUAUACAACAGGGUAAAGUAUAUGACUAAAAU